GAUGAAGGUCUUAGGAUUGUAAAAUACUUUCACCGGGGAAGAUAAUGACGGUACCCGGANAAGAAGCCCCGGCUAACUUCGUGCCANCAGCCGCGGUAAUACGAAGGGGGCUAGCGUUGCUCGGAAUUACUGGGCGUAAAGGGCGCGUAGACGGACAGUUUAGUCAGAGGUGAAAGCCCAGGGCUCAACCUUGGAAUUGCCUUUUGAUACUGGCUGUCUUGAGUUCGGGAGAGGUGAGUGGAAUGCCGAGUGUAGAGGUGAAAUUCGUAGAUAUUCGGCGGAACACCAGUGGCGAAGGCGACUCACUGGCCCGAUACUGACGCCUGAGGCGCGAAAGCGUGGGGAGCAAACAGGANNUAGAUACCCUGGUAGUUCCAAGG
rnacentral:rRNA from 1 species